AACCACUCAUCUAUCUCUGACUCUCUCUCUCCCCCUUGAAGGUAGCCGAGACUUUUGGGGGUUGAAAUCAAGAGUUAAAAGAGAGCACAGAGUGUGUUUGUGUUUGUGUGAGAUUAACUUUGUAAAAACAUAAACAAAAUUGAUCAAACAAAGACUAUCUGAGAAGCUUUAUUUUGCGGGGAAUGUUGUCUGGCUCGAGGACUUUUUCUAUUUGAUCUAUAGAAAUAUCGGUCAAGAAAUGUUUAGUGUUCUCGGACCAGGCUUCAUUCCCCACAAUUAUAUGCUUCCAUUCAAAGACUAUACACUUUCACAUAGGUAGAUCUGAAACAUGGGUUUUGUUUUUUUGGUUGAAUUAAAGAUGUUUGUAAUUUGCAGAUUGGUGUAAUGAUGAAGCAUUUUGACCAAUUUUAACUCACAAAAGGUUUUCAUCAUUACCUCCUUUUUAGUUUUUCAUUCUCUCUUUUUUCUCUGAUCAUGUUAUGAUGAUGUUUUUGUUGUCAGAUGUUAACACCUUUUUCUUUGUUGUUCAUCAUUAGCUAAUAUAGAUCUUUGAACAAUUAUGUUCUUUUCUUUCGGAUCUGUCUGUUUCUGCCAUGUUUUAUUCAGAUCUAGCAACUCUUUGAACUCACUUCAACAUUCUCUAAUUUUUCAACUCUUUCAUCACUAAUCCCUUUUCAAUUUACAUCUCUCUCUCUCUCUCUCUAGGGUUUCAUGACAUGCAUUUUGAUUCCAAGCUUCUCUGAGUUCAAUGAGUAUAAUGUUACUUAGAUCUAUACUUUUCACUGUUUUAGUUGCUCUCAAUUAUAUAAAUUUUGUGAUUAAAAAGUAUUUAGAUCUGAGAUUGAGAUUAAAAAAUAAAAUAGAAUAAAGUUUUACUAUUUUUUGUUUCCUUAUGUAUGUAGUUUUUAUUUUUCUAAAUGGGCAUCUUUAUGUAUGAUUUUCAUAUCUUAUUUUAUUUAUAGUUUUUUUUUUUACAGUAUCUUAUUUUAUUUAUAGUUUAAACCCUAAUUUCAUACACAUUCAAAAAGAUGCAUAAUUUUCUUUUGUGAAAUGAACUUUGAAUGUUGAUUAAGCUUUUAAUUAGUGAAGAAGUUUUCUUCAAAGGAUAAGGUAAUAUGUUCAUCAAGGAUCUUAAAUAUAUUGUCCAUGAAUUUAGUCAAUUACUACAAUUGUGGUUUACAUCACACACAAAUGCGCGCAAGCACACGUGUUUGUCCACGCGCACACACUACCUCUAAUCGUGGAAGUAGUACAUAAAUGUCGAUGUUUUGUAUUGUAACGUGUUCGAGUACCCUUCCGUAUAUAAAAAAAUGUCAAUGCUAUGUAUGUAACGUGUUGUACUACCGCUUCGUAUAUAAAAAAUGUCAAUGCUUAGUUGGAAAACAAAAAAAAUCUCUAAAUAUAAGACCUGUUUAUCAUGGUGGUAUGUUAGAAUUACGAUGAUUCACCGUAAUUUUCCAAAAACUACGUACCAAACAUAAACUUUGCACUGUUCAAGGCGAAAUCACUUCAAAGGUAGGACUAAUUACGAAUAAAUUAUUAUUAUUAUUAUUAUUAUUAUUAUUAUUAUUAUUAUUAUUAUUGUGCAUUUAUGGGAUCAAUGAUUAAAUCAGAAAGGAAUUAUUCAAGGCUCUUUUAUUUGUAAUAUUUUUAAAUUUACCUUGUUUUCUUCAUAAGCAGAGAGAUUUGGAAGUGACAGCAAUGUCAAUGAAAAAUUAGAUUGAGAAUGGUAGCAAAAGGGGUCAGCAUAUAGCAUAGCUAGUGACAUAGGGGAACAAGAAUGACAUAAACACAGUCCUCAGUGCUUAUCCAACACUGCAUUUCUUUAUCAUCAGUCAUCACCAUUGUUGAUAAUUACAUAGUCAUUUAUACUUGCACGCAAAUGUAUAGUUUUCGAAUAUCAACGCAGCUCAUGUAUCAAAAUCAAACUAUAUAAAGGAAUAAUCAUUCUUUAA